rnacentral:rRNA from 1 species
UAUUCUGUAGCAAGGUUAACCGAAUAGGGGAGCCGUAGGGAAACCGAGUCUUAACCGGGCGUUAAGUUGCAGGGUAUAGACCCGAAACCCGGUGAUCUAGCCAUGGGCAGGUUGAAGGUUGGGUAACACUAACUGGAGGACCGAACCGACUAAUGUUGAAAAAUUAGCGGAUGACCUGUGGCUGGGGGUGAAAGGCCAAUCAAACCGGGAGAUAGCUGGUUCUCCCCGAAAGCUAUUUAGGUAGCGCCUCGUGAAUUCAUCUCCGGGGGUAGAGCACUGUUUCGGCUAGGGGGCCAUCCCGGCUUACCAACCCGAUGCAAACUGCGAAUACCGGAGAAUGUUAUCACGGGAGACACACGGCGGGUGCUAACGUCCGUCGUGAAGAGGGAAACAACCCAGACCGCCAGCUAAGGUCCCAAAGUCAUGGUUAAGUGGGAAACGAUGUGGGAAGGCCCAGACAGCCAGGAUGUUGGCUUAGAAGCAGCCAUCAUUUAAAGAAAGCGUAAUAGCUCACUGGUCGAGUCGGCCUGCGCGGAAGAUGUAACGGGGCUAAACCAU